CACUGCCGAGAAAAGCCUCUAGAUAGAAAAUAGGUGCCCGUACCGCAAACCGACACAGGUAGUCAAGAUGAGAAUUCUAAGGUGAGCGAGCGAACUCUCGUUAAGGAACUCGGCAAAAUGACCCCGUAACUUCGGGAGAAGGGGUGCUCUUUAGGGUUAACGCCCAGAAGAGCCGCAGUGAAUAGGCCCAAGCGACUGUUUAUCAAAAACACAGGUCUCUGCUAAACCGUAAGGUGAUGUAUAGGGGCUGACGCCUGCCCGGUGCUGGAAGGUUAAGAGGAGUGGUUAGCUUCUGCGAAGCUACGAAUCGAAGCCCCAGUAAACGGCGGCCGUAACUAUAACGGUCCUAAGGUAGCGAAAUUCCUUGUCGGGUAAGUUCCGACCCGCACGAAAGGCGUAACGAUUUGGGCACUGUCUCAACGAGAGACUCGGUGAAAUCAUAGUACCUGUGAAGAUGCAGGUUACCCGCGACAGGACGGAAAGACCCCGUGGAGCUUUACUGUAGCCUGAUAUUGAAAUUCGGCACAGCUUGUACAGGAUAGGUAGGAGCCUUUGAAACGUGAGCGCUAGCUUACGUGGAGGCGCUGGUGGGAUACUACCCUAGCUGUGUUGGCUUUCUAACCCGCACCACUUAUCGUGGUGGGAGACAGUGUCAGGCGGGCAGUUUGACUGGGGCGGUCGCCUCCUAAAAGGUAACGGAGGCGCUCAAAGGUUCCCUCAGAAUGGUUGGAAAUCAUUCAUAGAGUGUAAAGGCAUAAGGGAGCUUGACUGCGAGACCUACAAGUCGAGCAGGGUCGAAAGACGGACUUAGUGAUCCGGUGGUUCCGCAUGGAAGGGCCAUCGCUCAACGGAUAAAAGCUACCCCGGGGAUAACAGGCUUAUCUCCCCCAAGAGUUCACAUCGACGGGGAGGUUUGGCACCUCGAUGUCGGCUCAUCGCAUCCUGGGGCUGUAGUCGGUCCCAAGGGUUGGGCUGUUCGCCCAUUAAAGCGGUACGCGAGCUGGGUUCAGAACGUCGUGAGACAGUUCGGUCCCUAUCCGUCGUGGGCGUAGGAAAUUUGAGAGGAGCUGUCCUUAGUACGAGAGGACCGGGAUGGACAUACCUCUGGUGUACCAGUUGUCGUGCCAACGGCAUAGCUGGGUAGCUAUGUGUGGACGGGAUAAGUGCUGAAAGCAUCUAAGCAUGAAGCCCCCCUCAAGAUGAGAUUUCCCAACUUCGGUUAUAAGAUCCCUCAAAGAUGA
rnacentral:rRNA from 1 species